GGUGAAGAACGUAGCGAAAUGCGAUAAGUAAUGCGAAUUGCAGAAUUCCGUGAGUCAUCGAAUCUUUGAACGCACAUUGCGCCCUCUGGUAUUCCGGAGGGCAUGCCUGUCUGAGCGUCAUUGUCAACCCUCAAGCUCAGCUUGCUGUUGGGUCCCCGUCGUUGCUUUAACGGCGGACCCGAAAGGUAAUGGCAGAGUCCGUGAGACCCUAGACGCAGCGAGCUUCUAGCACGCGUCUGGACGUUUUUCGGGCUCGGUCUUAACUAGAUGAUAACUUCCGAUUGACCUCAGAUCAGGUAGGGAUACCCGCUGAACUUAAGCAUAUCAAUAAGCGGAGGA
rnacentral:misc_RNA from 1 species